GGGGCUGCCUGGUUUCUACAUGCAAUUGAUUACUAUAGGUUUUAGAACAAUAAGUUUAGUUUAUUGAAUUAAGCUUUAAUAUAAAUCCAAGACACCAAAUAAUUCCUUUCUCUUUAAAUAAGGUUCUAGCUUAGUUAAAAGUAGUUUUGUUCCUUUUUAUAUUAUUGAGUCUCAAAUAAAAAAUCUUCAUUUUUAUUUGAUUAAUAUAUUGAAGAUGCUCUUAAGUAUUUAUUCUUAAGUAAAGUUUGUAUUCUUGAAUAUACCUUAAUAAAUUUCUUUAUUUAUGAUAUUUAUUUAAUCAAAAAUAGGCUAUCAUGAUUAGCUUAUAGAAUUCAUUGCUAUGGACGUGGGUUCGAAUCCCACCAGCUCCA
rnacentral:tmRNA from 1 species